GACGGGAUCGAUUUAGCCAUGCUAGUUGCACGAGUUUAGACUCGUAGCAUAUAGCUCAGUAACACGUGGCCAAACUACCCUACAGACCGCAAUAACCUCGGGAAACUGAGGCCAAUAGCGGAUAUAACUCUCAUGCUGGAGUGCCGAGAGUUAGAAACGUUCCGGCGCUGUAGGAUGUGGCUGCGGCCGAUUAGGUAGAUGGUGGGGUAACGGCCCACCAUGCCGAUAAUCGGUACAGGUUGUGAGAGCAAGAGCCUGGAGACGGUAUCUGAGACAAGAUACCGGGCCC
rnacentral:rRNA from 1 species